GGGGAAUAUUGCGCAAUGGGGGGAACCCUGACGCAGCGACGCCGCGUGAGCGAAGAAGGUCUUCGGAUCGUAAAGCUCUGUCUUUGGGGACGAAGGAAGUGACGGUACCCAAGGAGGAAGCCCCGGCUAACUACGUGCCAGCAGCCGCGGUAAUACGUAGGGGGCGAGCGUUGUCCGGAAUUACUGGGCGUAAAGGGUGCGUAGGCGGCCAUAUAAGUCAGGUGUGAAAAACCACGGCUUAACCGAGGUAUUGCACAUGAAACUGUAUGGCUUGAGUACAGGAGAGGAAAGUGGAAUUCCUAGUGUAGCGGUGAAAUGCGUAGAGAUUAGGAAGAACACCAGUGGCGAAGGCGGCUUUCUGGACUGUAACUGACGCUGAGGCACGAAAGCGUGGGGAGCAAACA
rnacentral:rRNA from 2 species